rnacentral:rRNA from 1 species
AGAGUUUGAUCCUGGCUCAGAACGAACGCUGGCGGCGUGCCUAAUACAUGCAAGUCGAGCGGACAGAUGGGAGCUUGGUCCCUGAAGUCAGCGGCGGACGGGUGAGUAACACGUGGGCAACCUGCCUGUAAGACUGGGAUAACUCCGGGAAACCGGGGCUAAUACCGGAUGAUUCUUUCCCUCACAUGAGGGAAAGCUGAAAGAUGGUUUCGGCUAUCACUUACAGAUGGGCCCGCGGCGCAUUAGCUAGUUGGUGAGGUAACGGCUCACCAAGGCGACGAUGCGUAGCCGACCUGAGAGGGUGAUCGGCCACACUGGGACUGAGACACGGCCCAUACUCCUACGGGAGGCAGCAGUAGGGAAUCUUCCGCAAUGGACGAAAGUCUGACGGAGCAACGCCGCGUGAGUGAUGAAGGUUUUCGGAUCGUAAAACUCUGUUGUUAGGGAAGAACAAGUACCGGAGUAACUGCCGGUACCUUGACGGUACCUAACCAGAAAGCCACGGCUAACUACGUGCCAGCAGCCGCGGUAAUACGUAGGUGGCAAGCGUUGUCCGGAAUUAUUGGGCGUAUAGCGCGCGCAGGCGGUUCCUUAAGUCUGAUGUGAAAGCCCCCGGCUCAACCGGGGAGGGUCAUUGGAAACUGGGGAACUUGAGUGCACAAAAUAAGAUUGGAUUUCCACGUGUACCGGUGAAAUGCGUAGAGAUGUGGAGGAACACCAGUGGCGAAUGCGACUCU